rnacentral:lncRNA from 1 species
UUGGCUAUCAUUCAUUGCCUCUUUAUCUUUAAUAUCCUUUUUUCUUUGUUUUUCAAAUUCUACAGGUUCAUCUUUUUGUUCUUCUGGGGUAGUCACAACAUUUUCUUUUGGUGGUUCUGAAAUUUUAGGCCCGUCGUAUUGAGUUCCGCUUCACAACGAAAUAGCAUUAGCAUGGCCUUUAGGGUUAGGUUGAGGUUGUC